CCUACGGGUGGCUGCAGUGAGGAAUAUUGCGCAAUGGGGGCAACCCUGACGCAGCAACGCCGCGUGAGUGAGGAAGGUUUUCGGACCGUAAAGCUCUGUCGAGCGGGAAGAAAUGCAUAAUGGCUAAUAUCCUUUAUGUUUGACGGUACCGCUAAAGGAAGCACCGGCUAACUCCGUGCCAGCAGCCGCGGUCAUACGGGGGGUGCUAGCGUUGUUCGGGAGCAUUGGGCGGGCUGGACGUGUAGGCGGUGAAAGCCCUGGGCUUAACUCAGGAAGUGCAUUUGAAACUGUUCAGCUGGAGUAAGGGAGAGGAAAGUGGAAUUCCUGGUGUAGAGGUGAAAUUCGUAGAUAUCAGGAGGAACACCGGUGGCGAAGGCGACUUUCUGGCCCUAUACUGACGCUGAGACGCGAGAGCGUGGGUAGCAAACAGGAUUAGAUACCCCGGUAGUC
rnacentral:rRNA from 1 species